GACAGAGGUGCCGAGCGUUAAUCGGAAUUACUGGGCGUAAAGCGUGCGCAGGCGGUGAUGUAAGACAGAUGUGAAAUCCCCGGGCUCAACCUGGGAACUGCAUUUGUGACUGCAUCGCUAGAGUACGGCAGAGGGGGAUGGAAUUCCGCGUGUAGCAGUGAAAUGCGUAGAUAUGCGGAGGAACACCGAUGGCGAAGGCAAUCCCCUGGGCCUGCACUGACGCUCAUGCACGAAAGCGUGGGGAGCAAACAGG
rnacentral:rRNA from 1 species